UUAGAAGCAGCCAUCCUUUAAAGAGUGCGUAAUAGCUCACCAGUCGAGCGGGGGUGCGCCCAAGAUUCAGCGGGAGUGAAGCUCGGCGCCGAAGCCACGGGAGAGCCUCAAUCUGCGGAUUGAGGCCACGGUAGAGGAGCAUUCCGCCUUAGGCCGAAGUCGUCUCGGAAGAGGCGGCGGACGAAGCGGAAGAGAGAAUGCAGGAAUGAGUAGCGCGAGGUGAGCGAGAAACUCACCCACCAUAUGCCUCAGGGUUCCUGGGGAAGGCUCAUCCACCCAGGGUUAGGCGGCCCUAAGCUCAACCCGCAAGGGGUAGGCGAUGGAGAGCCGGUUAAUAUUCCGGCCCCUCUCUGCGGCGAUGACCAAGGGGGGACGCAUCAGGUCGCUUCAGCGGGCGGACGGAUGUGCCCGUGCCAAAGGCGAGGCAUCCGGCUGUAGGCAAAUCCGCAGCCGGGUCAAGUCGAGCCGAGGCGGAGGUCCUACGGGACCGAAGGAAGAGCGAUCAGGUGCCGAGAAAAACCUCUAGGGAGUCGCAGAGAGCCCGUACCGCAAUCCGACACAGGUAGGCGGGCAGAGGAUGCUCAGGUGGGCGAGAGAACCAUGGUCAAGGAACUCGGCAAAAUGCUCCCGUACGUUCGCAAGAAGGGAGGCCCCGUGUAGGGCAGCGAUGUCCGAGGGGGCCGCAGAGAGCAGGCUGGGGGGACUGUUUCUCAAAAACACAGCACCCUGCCAACUCGCAAGAGGACGUAUAGGGUGUGAGACCUGGCCACUGCUGGAAGGUCAAGGGGAGGGGUGCAAGCCCCAAACUGAAGCCCCAGCGAAGGCCGGCCGUAACUAUAACGGUCCUAAGGUAGCGAAAUUCCUUGUCGGGUAAGUUCCGACGCGCAUGAAUGGUAUAACCACUCCAGCGCUGUCUUGACCAUGGGCUCGGUGAAAUUGAAGCACCGGUGAAAACGCCGGUGACUCGCGGCAGGACGGAAAGACCCCGUGGAGCUUUACUGGAGCUUGGCAUUGGGUCUCGACGGGUGUUGUGUAGGAUAGGUGGGAGCCGGAGAAGUCUCCGCGCUAGCGGGGAUGGAGGCGUCCUUGAAAUACCACCCUUCGCCCGUUGCGGCUCUAACCAACGGCCGUAUAGCGGUCGUGGGACCGUGCUAGGCGGACAGUUUAACUGGGGCGGUUGCCUCCUAAAGUGUAACGGAGGCGCGCAAAGGUCGGCUCAGCCGGGUUGGCGAUCCGGCGGGGAGUGCAUGGGCACAAGCCGGCUUGACUGUGACCCCGACAGGGGGAACAGGUGCGAAAGCAGGCCCAAGUGACCCGGUGGCUCUGUGUGGAAGGGCCAUCGAUCAUCGGAUAAAAGUUACCCCGGGGAUAACAGGCUAGUACCGCCCGAGAGUACACAUCGACGGCGGUGUUCGGCACCUCGAUGUCGGCUCAACUCAUCCUGGGGCUGAAGCAGGUCCCAAGGGUCCGUCUGUUCGCCGGUUAAAGAGUUACGUGAGCUGGGUUCAGACCGUCGCAAGACAGGUCGGUCCAUAUCCGCCGCGAGCGCAAGAGGCUUGAGGGGCGCUCUCCCUAGUACGAGAGGACCGGGAGGGCUGGACCGCUGGUGUACCAGCUGUUCCGCCAGGAGCACCGCUGGGUAGCUAGGUCCGGACGGGAUAAGCGCUGAAGGCAUCUAAGCGCGAAGCCCACCCCAAGAUGAGGCCUCUGAGAGCCCUGGGAGAACACCAGGUUGAUAGGCCGCAGGUGUACGCGCAGCAAUGCGCUCAGCCGAGCGGUCCUAAUCGCUCCGUCGUUUGCGCGAC
rnacentral:rRNA from 1 species